AGGUUGGCUUAGAAGCAGCCAUCCUUUAAAGAAAGCGUAACAGCUCACUGGUCUAGACAAGCCGGCCUGCGCCGAAGAUGUAACGGGGCUAAAGCCACAUACCGAAGCUGAGGACGUGAUUUAUCACGUGGUAGCAGAGCGUUCUGUAGGCCUGCGAAGCGUAAUCGUGAGAUUGCGUGGAGGUAUCAGAAGUGAGAAUGCUGACAUGAGUAGCGAUAAAGAGUGUGAGAAACACUCUCGCCGUAAGCCCAAGGGUUCCUGCGCAAGGCUAAUCCGCGCAGGGUGAGUCGGCCCCUAAGACGAGGGCGAAAGCCGUAGUCGAUGGGAAUCAGGUUAAUAUUCCUGAACCUGUUGGUAGUGACGGAUGACGUAAGUUGUACAUGCUUAACGGAUUGUGUGUGCAGCGAAGUUGUCCCAGGAAAUAGCUCCAACAUUAAGACCGUACCCCAAACCGACACAGGUGGGCAGGUAGAGCAUACCGAGGCGCUUGAGAGAACGAUGUUGAAGGAACUCGGCAAAUUGCCCCCGUAACUUCGGGAGAAGGGGGACCUCCAUUUAGGCAACUAGGUGGAGGUGGCACAGACCAGGGGGUGGCGACUGUUUAUUAAAAACACAGGGCUCUGCGAAGUCGCAAGACGACGUAUAGGGUCUGACGCCUGCCCGGUGCCUGAAGGUUAAAAGGAGGAGUGCAAGCUCCGAAUUGAAGCCCCGGUAAACGGCGGCCGUAACUAUAACGGUCCUAAGGUAGCGAAAUUCCUUGUCGGGUAAGUUCCGACCUGCACGAAUGGCGUAACGACUUCCCCGCUGUCUCCAACAUCGACUCAGCGAAAUUGAAUUCUCCGUGAAGAUGCGGAGUACCCGCGGUCAGACGGAAAGACCCCGUGCACCUUUACUAUAACUUUACAGUGGCAUCAGAAUACAGAUGUGCAGGAUAGGUGGGAGCCUUUGAAACCGUAGCGCCAGCCGCGGUGGAGGCAUCCUUGAGAUACCACCCUUCUGCGUUUUGGUGUCUAACCGCGGCCAGUGAAGCCUGGUCCGGGACCCUGUAUGGUGGGUAGUUUGACUGGGGCGGUCGCCUCCUAAAGAGUAACGGAGGCGCGCGA
rnacentral:rRNA from 1 species